rnacentral:piRNA from 1 species
UGCGUGCAUAGGCAACUCUGCCGUCUUU